rnacentral:rRNA from 1 species
CGGCAAUGGAGGAAACUCUGACCGCGCAACACCGCCGUGAACGACGCAAGUACUUUGGUAUGUAAGUUCUUUUAUCAAGGAAGAAAAGCAAGUGGCGAACCAUUUGUUUGCCGGUACUUGAUGAAUAACCCCCGGCUAAUUAUGUGCCAGCAGCCGCGGUAAGACAUAAGGGGCAAGUGUUAUCCGGAAUUAUUGGGCGUAAGGGGUGCGUAGGCGGUCUAAUAAGUCAGUGGUGUAAUGGCAGCGCUCAACGUUGUCCGGCUAUUGAAACUGCUAAACUUGAGUUAGAUAGAGGCGAGUGGAAUUCCAUGUGUAGCGGUAAAAUGCGUAAAUAUAUGGAGGAACACCAGAGGCGUAGGCGGCUCGCUGGGUCUUAACUGACGCUGAGGCACGAAAGCGUGGGGAGCAAACAGGAUUAUAUACCCUGGUAGUCCACGCCGUAAACGAUGAGUACUAAGUGUCGGGUUAAACCGGUACUGAAGUUAACACAUUAAGUACUCCGCCUGAGUAGUACGUACGCAAGUAUGAAACUUAAAGGAAUUGACGGGACUCCGCACAAGCGGUGGAUCAUGUUGUUUAAUUCAAAGAUACCCGAAAAACCUUACCAGGUCUUGACAUGUUUUUGCGAAACGGUAGUAAUAUCGUAGAGGUUAUCAUAAACACAGGUGGUGCAUGGUUGUCGUCAGCUCGUGUCGUGAGAUGUUAGGUUAAGUCCUAAAACGAGCGAAACCCUUAUCGUUAGUUGCCAGCACGUUAUGGUGGAGACUUUAACGAGACUGCCAGUGAUAAACUGGAGGAUGUGAGGAUCACGUCAUAUCAUGUGCCCCUUAUGACCUGGGCUACAAACGUGAUACAAUGGUGUUACAAAGAGUAGCUGAA